AGCACAUAUGAUGAGCAUUAAGGGACUUAAUACUGAGUUGAGUACUUGAUGUCUUUUUUUCCAUACUGAUGUGC
rnacentral:snoRNA from 1 species